rnacentral:rRNA from 1 species
AGUGAACGCUGGCGGUAGGCCUAACACAUGCAAGUCGAACGGCAGCACAGUAAGAGCUUGCUCUUACGGGUGGCGAGUGGCGGACGGGUGAGGAAUACAUCGGAAUCUACUUUUUCUUGGGGGAUAACGUAGGGAAACUUACGCUAAUACCGCAUACGACCUACGGGUGAAAGCAGGGGAUCUUCGGACCUUGCGCGAUUGAAUGAGCCGAUGUCGGAUUAGCUAGUUGGCGGGGUAAAGGCCCACCAAGGCGACGAUCCGUAGCUGGUCUGAGAGGAUGAUCAGCCACACUGGAACUGAGACACGGUCCAGACUCCUACGGGAGGCAGCAGUGGGGAAUAUUGGACAAUGGGCGCAAGCCUGAUCCAGCAAUACCGCGUGGGUGAAGAAGGCCUUCGGGUUGUAAAGCCCUUUUGUUGGGAAAGAAAAGCAGCAGGUUAAUACCCCGCUGUUCUGACGGUACCCAAAGAAUAAGCACCGGCUAACUUCGUG